GGUCAGGUCGGGGGGGUCCCUCCUGCAUGCAAAUAGGGGAUCUGGUCAGGUGGGGGGGUCCCUCCUGCAUGGAACUGGGGAUGGGGGCUCUGGCCAGCUGAGGACCCCUCCUGCAUGGCACUGAGGGGUUCUGGUCAGGUCGGGGGGGUCCCUCCUGCAUGCAAAUGGGGGGUCUGGUCAGGUGGGGGGGUCCCUCCUGCAUGGAACUGGGGAUGGGGGCUCUGGCCAGCUGAGGAACCCUCCUGCAUGGCACUGAGGGGUUCUGGUCAGGUGGGGGGGUCCCUCCUGCAUGGAACUGGGGAUGGGGGCUCUGGCCAGCUGAGGAACCCUCCUGCAUGGCACUGGGGGGUUCUGGUCAGGUCGGGGGGGGUCCCUCCUGCAUGCAAAUGGGGGGUCUGGUCAGGUGGGGGUCCCUCCUGCAUGGCACUGGGGGGGGGGGGGCAAGGGGGACAAGGAAUGAAGAUGGGGCAGGUGACACCAUCCCUAGCCAUGAGGACAUGGGGACCCUCGCUGC